rnacentral:rRNA from 1 species
UGGGGGAUAUUGCACAAUGGGCGCAAGCCUGAUGCAGCGACGCCGCGUGGGGGAUGAAGGCCUUCGGGUUGUAAACUUCUUUUGCUCUGAACAAGGCGCACUUUGGGGUGUGUUGAGUGUAGGGGUUGAUUAGCGCCGGCUAACUACGUGCCAGCAGCCGCGGUAAUACGUAGGGCGCGAGCGUUGUCCGGAAUUAUUGGGCGUAAAGGGCUUGUAGGUGGCUGGUUGCGUCUGUCGUGAAAGCUCAUGGCUUAACUGUGGGUUUGCGGUGGGUACGGGCUGGCUUGAGUGCAGUAGGGGAGGCUGGAAUUCCUGGUGUAGCGGUGGAAUGCGCAGAUAUCAGGAGGAAUACCGGUGGCGAAGGCGGGUCUCUGGGCUGUUACUGACGCUGAGGAGCGAAAGCGUGGGGAGCGAACAGG